AUACCGGAUGUGGCACCCUGCGAUUGCGGGGAAGCUAAAGGAUUAUUCACUUCCCGAGGGGCUCGCGGCCCAUCAGCUUGUUGGUGAGGGUAACGGCCCACCAAGGCGACAACGGGUAGCUGGUCUGAGAGGAUGGUCCGCCACACUGGAACUGAGACACGGUCCAGACACCUACGGGUGGCAGCAGUCGAGAAUCAUUCGCAAUGGGGGAAACCCUGACGAUGCGACGCCGCGUGGAGGAUGAAGGCCUUAGGGUUGUAAACUCCUGUCAAGAGGGAAUAAGCAAGUGAAGGUACCUCUAGAGGAAGGGGCGGCUAAUUCCGUGCCAGCAGCCGCGGUAACACGGAAGACCCGAGAGUAGUACGGAUUCAUUGGGCGUAAAGGGUGCGUAGGCGGCGCGGAAAGUCCGGAGUGAAAGGCAGGGGCUCAACCUCUGGACUGCGUUGGAUACUUCCGUGCUUGAGGACUGGAGGGGAGACUGGAAUUCACGGUGUAGCAGUGAAAUGCGUAGAUAUCGUGAGGAAGACCGGUGGCGAAGGCGAGUCUCUGGACAGAUCCUGACGCUGAGGCACGAAGGCUGGGGGAGCGAACAGGAUUAGAUACCCUGGUAGUCCCAGCAGUAAACGAUGUGAGCUUGAUUUGGGGGGAUUCGACCCCUUCCGUGUCGAAGCUAACGCGAUAAGCUCACCGCCUGAGGAGUACGGCCGCAAGGCUAAAACUCAAAGAAAUUGACGGGGACCCGCACAAGCGGUGGAGUAUGUGGCUUAAUUCGAUGCAACGCGAAGAACCUUACCUGGCCUUGACAUGCAUUGUGUCGUCGGUGAAAGCCGGCUAGUCCUGGAAACAGGACGCUUUGCACAGGUGCUGCAUGGCUGUCGUCAGCUCGUGUCGUGAGAUGUUGGGUUAAGUCCCGCAACGAGCGCAACCCUUGUGGUCAGUUACUAACCGGCUUAGCCGGAGGACUCUGGCCAGACUGCCCUGUCAAACGGGGAGGAAGGUGGGGACGACGUCAAGUCAGUAUGGCCCUUAUGGCCAGGGCUGCACACGUACUACAAUGCCCGGUACAAUGUGAACCGAAACCGCGAGGUGGAGGAAAUCGCUCUUGAAAACCGGGCCCAGUUCGGAUUGGAGUCUGCAACUCGACUCCAUGAAGUCGGAAUC
rnacentral:rRNA from 1 species